ensembl:lncRNA ZNF542P zinc finger protein 542, pseudogene
ACUCACGCCUACGUACUCAGUCACCAGCGGAACCCUCUCCACCAGGCUCCGCGUCGAGGCCCUACGGGGCGUCAAUACGCACGCGUACUUUGUGUCCCAGCUCUGCAUUUCCAGGACCUGGUCACUAUUCAGGACACGGUUCCAGCGCAGUGCGCGUUAGCCAUGUCUCAGCUCCAGACUGAGAGGACGCAGCAUAGAAAAUGCUUAUGAGUGGUUCAGACUCAGUAAUGGGAUGAGUGACAUUCCAAGAUGUGGCCAUUGACUUCUCCAAGGAAGAGUGGGGAUUCCUGAACCCUGCUCAGAGAGAUUUGUACACAACUGUGAUGCUGGAGAAUUAUCAGAACCUGGUCUGGCUGGGACUUUCCAUUUCUAAAUCUGUGAUUUCACUGUUGGAGAAAAGGAAACUGCCUUGGAUAAUGGCAAAAGAAGAGAUAAGAGGCCCAUUGCCAGAUGUGCCAGGUGCAGAGAUUAAGGAGUUAUCUGCAAAGAGGGCUAUUAAUGAAGUAUUAUCGCAGUUUGACACAGUGAUAAAAUGUACAAGAAACGUAUGUAAGG